rnacentral:rRNA from 1 species
AUUGAACGCUGGCGGAAUGCUUUACACAUGCAAGUCGAGCGGCAGCGCGGGGCAACCUGGCGGCGAGCGGCGAACGGGGGAGUAAUGCAUCGGAACAUGUCCAUGUCGUGGGGGAUAGCCCGGCGAAAGCCGGAUUAAUACCGCAUAGGCCCGAGAGGGGAAAGUGGGGGACCGCAAGGCCUCACGCGAUGGGGUUGGCCGAUGUCCGAUUAGCUAGUUGGUGGGGUAAAGGCCCACCAAGGCGAUGAUCGGUAGCUGGUCUGAGAGGAUGAUCAGCCACACUGGGACUGAGACACGGCCCAGACUCCUACGGGAGGCAGCAGUGGGGAAUUUUGGACAAUGGGGAAACCCUGAUCCAGCCAUUCCGCGUGAGUGAAGAAGGCCUUCGGGUUGUAAAGCUCUUUUGUCCGGAACGAAACGGGUUGGUCUAAUAGGCCGGCCUACUGACGGUACCGGAAGAAUAAGCACCGGCUAACUACGUGCCAGCCGCCGCAGUAAGAC